UUAUACGUGUGUGCACAGGAAAGGAAGAGCAAGGAGGUGACGGUGGAAUUGGUGGAGGUUUUUGGAUUUAGCACUGGUGCAAUAUAGUAUAACAACAACGCAGAAACAAUGGAAAAUAACAUGAUAUUGAAGAUACAAAGGCGUUAGGCGUCAAUUGGUAAUACCAAGUGAAGACAGGUCCUUCUCCACCUGGUCCUUCCAUCGGAGUGGAGGUCUCCCUCUUCCUCGGCUUUCACCGGCGGUUACAGCAUCGAAAACUUUCAGAGCUGAGGCACUUUCGUCCAAUCGAACAACAUAACUAAGCCCGCGUAGCCGCUGUCUUUUUAUUCGCUGGACUAUGCCUAUGUCGUCGAACAAUACAUACAGCUCAUCAUUUCAUCUUAUGCGGUAUUCGCCGUUGCCAAUGUUUAAAGGACCAUAAAUCCGCAAAACUUACUCUCGAAAACGCCUAAUGCCGUCUCAUCGGAUGUUGACACCGUCCCCGCUUCUGCACCACGAAGUAGGACGGGAAUGAUGAGGGACUUGUAGAGUUUAGUUUUUGCUCAUCAAUUGCCUACUCAGACCAUAAACACAAAUACUUUGUACAAAUGGAGGAUUACAAUAGCUACAACUUUUCUUAGGUUUUCAUAUUUUCUAAUCGUUAAUAACAAUUUCUAUUUCUAAUAUUUUUCAGGCAUGAUAAACAAGACAACAACAAAUCCCAUCGGACAUUUAGAUUAGCAGCUGCACAACCUCUUUUUGACGAGCUGAACCUUUUUAUGAUGUACAUAUGGGAUCCUAUCCCAAUUGGAUAUGGAAUUGACAUCAAACCAUAUUGGUUCAUUAGUUUGGUUGGAUCCUUACAGGAUAGUUAUAAGGAAAUCGUUCGCGUUUAGUAUUAAUUUAUUCAUUUGCUAAUUCAUAAUUUAUAUGUAAAAUAUUAUUAAAUUAUACAAAUGAAUGUUCGUAUACUAAUAACAUUCGUAAUAGUAAUGGGAUUUUAUUUGAA